UUAAAUCCAUUUUUUCAUUGA
rnacentral:piRNA from 1 species